UGAGACCAGUUAGUUUCUCACCGUUGCAAACCGUAGCAAAACGUUUUGCAACGGAAAAGGCUUUGCAACAAAAAAAAAAAACAAGGAUUCUAAUUGGACACGUUAACUAGUCCCUCUCCAUUUUGGUCCGUUUGUUUCGACACUACACAAGUAUGUAUCUGGGACACACCUAAGGCGGGGUUUGGCCUGGAGGGUCCAUUCGACACUGAACAGUUGUGGAACAGCUCUUGAUCCGAGUAGCACGCAGAUUACUUCAGGGACUCAAAGUAUUGUAAAGUAAACUAAUUUAAGCAGGUCCAAUGGCAACACAGUGUGUGACAAAGGUGGAGCUGACUGUCUCCUGUGAGAAUCUUCUGGACAAGGAUAUUGGCUCCAAGUCUGACCCACUGUGUGUUCUUCUCAUGAACACUACUGGGUCACAGUGGUACGAGGUGGGCCGCACAGAGAAGGUACAGAAUUGCCUUGCGCCAAAGUUUGCCAAGAAGUUCAUCAUCGAUUACUACUUUGAAAUAGUGCAAAAGCUGAAGUUUGGAAUUUACGACAUCGACAAUAAAACUGUUGACCUAAGUGAUGAUGAUUUCCUGGGAGAGCUGGAGUGUACCUUGGGCCAGGUGGUGUCUAGUAGAAAGCAUACUAGACCACUGGUGUUGAAGAACAACAGGCCUGCAGGAAGAGGGAGCAUUACAAUAAUUGCUGAAGAAAUAAAAGACAACAGGGUGGUGAAUUUUGAGGCUGAAGCAAGGAAACUGGACAACAAGGAUUUCUUUGGGAAGUCUGAUCCUUACCUGGAGUUCUACAAGCAGACAGAGACUGGAUGGCAGCUGGCUCACAGAACGGAGGUGGUGAAGAACAACCUGAACCCAACAUGGAAACCCUUCAGGAUCCCCCUGCAGUCUCUGUGUGGAGGAGACAUGGACAAACAUAUAAAGGUGGAGUGCUACGACUAUGACAAUGAUGGAUCUCAUGACCUCAUUGGAAUCUUUGAGACCACCAUGACACGUCUGCAAGAGGCAUCGCGCUCCUCACCGGCUGAGUUUGAAUGUAUCAACAGUAAAAAGCAACAGAAGAAGAAGGGAUACAAAAACUCUGGUGUGGUGAGUGUGAAGCUGUGUCAGGUGGUGAAGGAGUAUACCUUCCUGGACUAUAUCAUGGGCGGUUGCCAGAUCAACUUCACUGUGGGUAUUGACUUCACAGGGUCAAACGGAGACCCCAAAUCUCCCCAGUCUCUCCACUACAUCAGUCCACAAGGGGUCAAUGAAUACCUGUCUGCCAUCUGGUCCGUUGGCAUGGUGAUCCAAGACUACGACAGUGACAAAAUGUUCCCUGCCUUUGGCUUUGGAGCACAGAUCCCACCUACCUGGCAGGUUUCUCAUGAGUUCCCUCUCAAUUUCAACCCUGCAAAUCCAUUCUGUGCUGGUAUCGAGGGUGUAGUGGAGGCCUACAGAGUGUGUCUUCCCCAGGUGAAGCUCUACGGUCCCACUAACUUCUCUCCCAUCAUCAACCAUGUAGCCCGCUUCGCUAUGCAGGCUACCCAGCAGAAAACUGCCUCUCAAUACUUUGUCCUCCUGAUCAUAACGGACGGCGUGAUCACGGAUCUGGACCAGACACGCUCCGCCAUCGUUAACGCUUCCCGUCUGCCCAUGUCCAUUAUCAUCAUCGGUGUGGGCGGGGCCGACUUCACUGCCAUGGAGUUCCUGGACGGUGACGACGGGCGGCUCAGAGCGCCAACGGGAGAGACUGCUGCACGGGACAUCGUCCAGUUUGUCCCCUUUAGACAGUUCCAGAACGCACCCAGGGAAGCUCUUGCUCAAAGCGUACUGGCAGAGUUGCCUGGACAAGUGGUGUCCUACUUCAGUAUACACAAACUGAAGCCUCCCCAUGACCCUGAGUCCCAGCCCUCAGCCCCGUCAGCCUCAGCCCUAUGAGUCCCAGCCUCAUCCCAGUACUUCGUAGAAAUGUAGGGAUACAUCCCCCAAAUGCUUCAACUACUCCCCAUUGGCUUCUUCAACCCAACCCCUGUCUGUGUGCUUGCUUCCAUGUCUCCUAAAGAAGCUCUGGCCCAGUCUGUGUUGGCUGAAGUCCCUGGUCAGGUGGUCACCUACUUCAACAUGAAUAAGCUGAGUCCUCCCAACACUGACACUCCCCCUGCCCCCGUCCCUACACCGCCAACUACUGCAGACAUGCCCACCCUCACCUCCUAGUGCCCAGGAGAGGAACCAACCCCAGUACCCAGCACCAAGCCAUCCCCACCUGACCGAAGACAAAGUACACUGUCAGGAUGAGUAUACAGUCGCUCAUCUCAGUAGCUACAAUAAGAACUCUCUGCUAUUUAUCAUUGUGUCAAAGGGAUCAUGACAGGUAUACAAAGCUCUAGCCAUUACUAAAUAGCAUGUGUCAGGUUGAAUUGAGCAGGAUGGAAGUUUUGUAGGAGGAAAUUCUACAAAACACUGCAUGUGUACUUACAGCAACCAACAACACAUUGGUCCAGUCUGGCUUGUUCCCAAUCUCCGUCAGUAGGCCAUUCCCAGAAGCAUGUGUACAUAUACCCAUAUGCACAGUGUCUAGUGAAAGUCUACACAUCCCUUGCACAGUUGUCACAUUUUGCUGCCUUAAAACUAAAUCUAAAAAGGGAUUCAAUUGUAUUUCUUCCUACGAUAUGUAUUGCGAUUUGAUGUUCCAAACAUAUUGCUCACUAUGUCUGCUGAACGCAUGAGAAUUUUUUUUGAUUGAUCAGUCAUGGAAAGGGUUAGCUUUACUAUUUAAAAAGAUGGAGAACAAGCUAUAUAGGAUGAAAAAUGCCGGAGUUUUGGCGCAGGUACAGCCGACUAGCCAAACAAUUGUAAUAAUUUUUUUACAAAUCAAUACUUGUCAAAGUAUCGAUAUAAUAUUAUGACAUCUAACUAUCAAUUACUGCCCCAUCACUACUUUAAUUGCUGCCAAAGGUGCUUCCACCAAGUAUUAACUCUGGGGUGUAAAAGACGUACAUUUUUUGCAAUUCAUUUUGACACUUUUCUUUACUUCAUUCAAUUUGAAAAUGUGGAGUAGGCUGUUUAAAUCAGUAUGAAAAAACAUCUAAUGAAAUCCCUUUUAAAGAUGUAAAAUGUGACAACUGUGGAAGGGGCGUGUAUACUCACUAGGCAAUGUAUAUAUAUUUUUUAAGUAGCCUAAUGCUACUUAGUUGCUCCUAUUUUAUACUGUUUUGCCAUUUUUAGUAGACACUUAUCCAGAGCAACUUACAGGAGCAAUUAUGGUUAAGUGCCUUGCGCAACGACAUAUUUUUCACCAAGUCAGCUCGGGAUUCGAACCAGUAACAUUACAGUUACUGGCCCAACGCUCUUAACAGCUAGGCUACCUGCCACCCUAUUUCACUAUAAACCUUGCUUCAUCAGAUGUUUUUUUAUAGUUUGGUACAUUUGUAUAUUUUUACUAAGUUUAAUGCUCAGUAUAGAUUAGCUAUCAAGCUGUGAGUAGCAUUAUAUCUACAGUAAUUAUCUAGUCCUCAAAUUAAUUUUUGGAGGUAAAUUUUGUUUAUUCAAACAGGCUAAGUUCAUGCUUCUUUUUAAGUAAUGUUUUUUAAAUUGACGGCUUAGCAAAUUGGAUAUUGUGUUGUGAAUGCAGCUUUUGAGUGAAUGACAUUCAUAGUGUAUUAAUCGUUCCACUCCAGAAUAAUGAUGAUUUGUUGAUGUUUGUGUAUUGAGUCGCUAUAGAGCGCUCGUUUUUCUUCCUCUUGUGCCAAUUAUGCUUGCAGAGCCACUUUAUGGACUAGCUUGCAGAGUUCCUAUUCCAUUUGAGCAUAAAUAAUUGAAUUCAAUUAUGACCAUAUUCAUUAUGUAAAUGUCAGCUUUAGCUUAUAGUAUACAUUUUGUGUUUAUAUAGGUAAUAUUGAUUAACAAUUUACUUUAUUUAAUUCUCCUUCCCCACUGAUAAUUGAUCAGGUUUAAACUGGAUUAGUUAUUUUGUCAUAAUUGUUUAUGGGUUCCUAAAAAUUGAGGGCCUUAUAUUAUAGAUACUGCUACAGUAGCAAUCAAAUGGUUCUUUCUGCUCUUCCAUGUUAUGUCAAUGUCCUAUAUUAUAUUAUAUACUGGGUGGUUUGAAUGCUGAUUAGCUUAAAGCAGUGGUAUAUCAGACCGAAUACCAUGGGUAUGACAAAAAAAGUACUUUUACUGUUCUAAUUAGUUUCGUAACCAGUUGCGUAAUAAGAGCAGCCCGUAGCCAUAUACCACACCCUCUCUGGCCUUACUGCUUAAGUAUACUCAUGUGUGCUUUGUGCCAUUAUAGCUGUUUUCCCCCCAAAGGAAUCAAGCAUAUUUCUAAUAUUGCAUGAUGAUCACAAGUAAACGUUUAUCUACCACAA